rnacentral:pre_miRNA from 1 species
AUGUAAGGCAAUCUGUCUUUAAGUAGGGUUGAAUUGCUCUUAAGAAGAAUCCUAGAUAGUUUUAUCUUCAAGCAUGUUGUUGU